UACUCGUAGAUCUCCCUGUCUCCCAUCUUUCGCUGUCUUCUCUUCUUAUUGUUUUCUUUUUUCUUCUUCUUGUUUGUUUUGUGUUCUCUUUGGAGGAGGUUCUGAUGGGCCUUGGUGAACAAACAAACAAAC
rnacentral:ribozyme from 14 species